AAAAGAGCCCGCCUCUCCCUCGGCCGGUCACUCUUUCGCCACGGGCGGGGUUGCACCAUCCGGCAGGGCGGGGCCCGGCCAUGGCGACCGCGGAGCCCAGCGGGCGCGCGUUGCGGUUGUCUACCCCGGGACCCCGGCCCAGCGGGGCUCGGGACCGCGCGCCGGGAGCUGCGGGGCCACCCUCCGGGCAGAUCGGUAAUAGAGCCCUCCGUCUGGGGGAGCGCACCCCCGCGGCCGUGGAAAAGCGGGGGCCAUACAUGGUGACGCGCGCACCCUCCAUUCAAGCCAAGCUGCGUCAGUGAAGUUUAACAAGGGCUAUACUGCUCUUAGCCAGAGUCCAGAUGAAAACCUGGUGUCCCUCGACUCUGACAGCAGGUGAACCAGGAUGUGAGCCGGCAGCUGCUUCAGGAUGGGUAUCACCUGGAUGAGAUUCCAGAUGACGAGGACUUGGACCUCAUCCCCCCUAAGCCCAUGGCCUCUUCAACAUGCUCCUGCUGCUGGUGCUGUCUUGGGGACUCUUCUUCCUGUACCCU
rnacentral:lncRNA from 1 species